rnacentral:rRNA from 1 species
AGCAUAUCAAUAAGCGGAGGAAAAGAAACCAACAGGGAUUGCCUCAGUAACGGCGAGUGAAGCGGCAAUAGCUCAAAUUUGAAAUCUGGAGCCUUCGGCUUCCGAGUUGUAAUUUGAAGAGGAUGUUUCGGUUGCGGCCACGGCCCAAGUUCCUUGGAACAGGACGUCAUGGAGGGUGAGAAUCCCGUACCUGGCUGUUGGCUUGCUUCCAUGUGAAACUCCUUCGAAGAGUCGAGUUGUUUGGGAAUGCAGCUCAAAAUGGGUGGUAAAUUUCAUCUAAAGCUAAAUAUUGGCGGGAGACCGAUAGCGCACAAGUAGAGUGAUCGAAAGAUGAAAAGCACUUUGAAAAGAGAGUUAAACAGUACGUGAAAUUGUUGAAAGGGAAGCGCUUGCAAUCAGACUCGCUUUCGGUUGAUCAACGUUCCUUCUGGUUCGUGCACUCUGCCGUUGGCGGGCCAGCAUCAGCUGGGGCGGUGGGACAAAGACUUCAGGAAUGUGGCUCUCUUCGGGGAGUGUUAUAGCCUGUUGUGCAAUGCCACCAGUCCCGGCUGAGGUCCGCGGUUUAUCCUAGGAUGCUGGCUUAAUGGUUGUAAGCGACCCGUCUUGAAACACGGACCAAGGAGUCUAACAUCUAUGCGAGUCUUUGGGUGUCAAACCCAUGGGCGUAAUGAAAGUGAACGGAGGUGGGAGUCUUCGGAUGCACCAUCGACCGAUCCUGAUGUUCUCGGAUGGAUUUGAGUAGGAGCAUAGCUGUUGGGACCCGAAAGAUGGUGAACUAUGCCUGAAUAGGGUGAAGCCAGAGGAAACUCUGGUGGAGGCUCGCAGCGGUUCUGACGUGCAAAUCGAUCGUCAAAUUUGGGUAUAGGGGGCGAAAGACUAAUCGAACCAUCUAGUAGCUGGUUU